rnacentral:rRNA from 1 species
CCUACGGGAGACUGCAGUGAGGAAUAUUGGUCAAUGGACGAGAGUCUGAACCAGCCAAGUCGCGUGAGGGAUGACUGCCCUAUGGGUUGUAAACCUCUUUUAUAUGGGAGUAAAAUGUUCCACGUGUGGGAUUUUGUAUAUACCCUGUUAAUAAGGCUCGGCUAACCCCGUGCCAGCAGCCGCGGUAAUACGGGGGGUCCGAGCGUUAUCCGGAUUUAUUGGGUUUAAAGGGAGCGUAGGUGGAUUGUUAAGCCAGUUGUGAAAGUUUGCGGCUCAACCGUAAAAUCGCAGUUGAAACUGGCAGUCUUGAGUACAGGAGAGGUGGGCGGAAUUCGUGGUGUAGCGGUGAAAUGCUUAGAUAUCACGAAGAACCCCGAUUGCGAAGGCAGCUUACUGGACUGCAACUGACACUGAGGCACGAAAGCGUGGGUAUCAAACAGGAUUAGAUACCCCUGUAGUC